rnacentral:tRNA from 1 species
GCCUCGGUAGCUUAGUUAGCUAAAGCAUCGUUCUCGUAAAACGAAGAUCGGGAGUGCAAAUCUCUCUCGAGGCU